ACGGAGGAUGCAAGCGUUAUCCGGAUUCAUUGGGUUUAAAGGGUGCGUAGGCGGCUUUUUAAGUCAGUGGUGAAAUCCUGCCGCUUAACGAUAGAAUUGCCAUUGAUACUGAAGAGCUUGAGUUCAGUUGAGGUAAGCGGAAUGUGUAGUGUAGCGGUGAAAUGCUUUGAUAUUACGCAGAACACCGGUUGCGAAGGCAGCUUACUAAACUGCGACUGACGCUGAUGCACGAAAGCGUGGGGAGCGAACAG
rnacentral:rRNA from 1 species